CAGCAGCCGCGGUAAUACGUAGGGUGCAAGCGUUAAUCGGAAUUACUGGGCGUAAAGCGUGCGCAGGCGGUGUUGUAAGACUGAUGUGAAAUCCCCGGGCUCAACCUGGGAACUGCAUUGGUGACUGCAACGCUGGAGUGCGGCAGAGGGGGAUGGAAUUCCGCGUGUAGCAGUGAAAUGCGUAGAUAUCGGAAGGAACACCUGUGGCGAAAGCGGCUCACUGGACCAUUACUGACGCUGAGGCACGAAAGCGUGGGGAGCAAACAGGAUUAGAUACCCCCGUAGUCCCUGUCUCUUAUAC
rnacentral:rRNA from 1 species